GUCGUGGCCGAGUGGUUAAGGCGACAGACUUGAAAUCUGUUGGGAUAUUCCCGCGCAGGUUCAAAUCCUGCCAUACGACU
rnacentral:tRNA from 1 species